rnacentral:misc_RNA from 1 species
UCGAGUUUCCUUUGGUUACUGUUCCAUUCGUCUCCUUCCUAACGAAGGCUUAAACUAGCGUACACAGAAAUUCUCUCACUAGAAGUCUUUCUCACUCUCUCUUUGUUCGCGGCCUGCAUAACUCACCGAUCAUGCCUCACAAAAAUUCUGGAGGAAAACCUGCUCCUCAGGCUGCUGCACGCCCUGCACCAGCACGCAAACCACCACCCCAACCAGUUAACCGUGCUCCUCCUCUAGCCCCUGUCCAGAGUAGUGGUAGUGGUGGAUCAUUGCUUGGAAACAUAGUUCAGGGCAUGGCUUAUGGCGCUGGAAAUGCUAUGGCACAGAGAACUAUAGAUGCUGUGUUGGGUCCUCGUACAAUU